rnacentral:rRNA from 1 species
GUUUGAUCCUGGCUCAGGAUGAACGCUAGCGGCAGGCCUAACACAUGCAAGUCGAGGGGUAGAGGAAGCUUGCUUCCUUGAGACCGGCGCACGGGUGCGUAACGCGUAUGCAAUCUGCCUUGUACAGAGGGAUAGCCCAGAGAAAUUUGGAUUAAUACCUCAUAGUAUUAUUGAAUGGCAUCAUUUAAUAAUUAAAGUUCCAACGGUACAAGAUGAGCAUGCGUCCUAUUAGCUAGUUGGUGUGGUAACGGCAUACCAAGGCUACGAUAGGUAGGGGUCCUGAGAGGGAGAUCCCCCACACUGGUACUGAGACACGGACCAGACUCCUACGGGAGGCAGCAGUGAGGAAUAUUGGACAAUGGGCGCAAGCCUGAUCCAGCCAUGCCGCGUGCAGGAAGACGCAUCUAUGGUGUGUAAACUGCUUUUGUACGGGAAGAAACACUCCCUCGUGAGGGAGCUUGACGGUACCGUAAGAAUAAGGAUCGGCUAACUCCGUGCCAGCAGCCGCGGUAAUACGGAGGAUCCAAGCGUUAUCCGGAAUCAUUGGGUUUAAAGGGUCCGUAGGCGGUUUAAUAAGUCAGUGGUGAAAGCCCGUCGCACAACGAUGGAACGGCCAUUGAUACUGUUAGACUUGAAUUACAAGGAAGUAACUAGAAUAUGUAGUGUAGCGGUGAAAUGCUUAGAUAUUACAUGGAAUACCAAUUGCGAAGGCAGGUUACUACUUGUGGAUUGACGCUGAUGGACGAAAGCGUGGGGAGCGAACAGGAUUAGAUACCCUGGUAGUCCACGCCGUAAACGAUGGAUACUAGCUGUUGGGAGCAAUUUCAGUGGCUAAGCGAAAGUGAUAAGUAUCCCACCUGGGGAGUACGUUCGCAAGAAUGAAACUC